UACGUAGGUGGCAAGCGUUGUCCGGAAUUAUUGGGCGUAAAGCGCGCGCAGGCGGCCUCUUAAGUCUGAUGUGAAAGCCCCCGGCUCAACCGGGGAGGGCCAUUGGAAACUGGGAGGCUUGAGUAUAGGAGAGAAAGAGUGGAAUUCCGACGUGUAGCGGUGAAAUGCGUAGAGAUGUGGAGGAACACCAGUGGCGAAGGCGACUCUUUGGCCUAUAACUGACGCUGAGGCGCGAAGCGUGGGAGCAAACAGG
rnacentral:rRNA from 1 species